rnacentral:rRNA from 1 species
CCUACGGGAGGCAGCAGUAGGGAAUAUUGCUCAAUGGGGGAAACCCUGAAGCAGCAACGCCGCGUGGAGGAUGAAGGUUUUCGGAUUGUAAACUCCUUUUGUUAGAGAAGAUAAUGACGGUAUCUAACGAAUAAGCACCGGCUAACUCCGUGCCAGCAGCCGCGGUAAUACGGAGGGUGCAAGCGUUACUCGGAAUCACUGGGCGUAAAGAGCGCGUAGGCGGGAUAGCAAGUCAGAUGUGAAAUCCUAUGGCUUAACCAUAGAACUGCAUUUGAAACUGUUAUUCUAGAGUAUGGGAGAGGUAGAUGGAAUUCUAGGUGUAGGGGUAAAAUCCGUAGAGAUCAAGAGGAAUACUCAUUGCGAAGGCGACCUGCUGGAACAUAACUGACGCUGAUGCGCGAAAGCGUGGGGAGCAAACAGGAUUAGAUACCCCUGUAGUC